CAGGCAGAUGGCAGCUACUGCCUGGGCGACAUUUAGCUGAGUGUAGCUCACUCAUGCUGUUCUCGUGUCAACUCAGCUCUGCCCCAAUUUCAAGGUCAGUCCUGGCUGGGUGGCUUCAGGUCUCCUCUUCCUGUUUGGCCAAGACACACAUGCUGGUUGUCACAUCUCUGCUCCCAAAAUGACUCUUCUGGUCCAGCCUCUCAUCAUUUCCCCUGUUCUUAAAAUGAUGCUCUUGCUUGGCCCAAACCCAACUUCCCUCUGGGCUUUAAUUCCUAAGUCUGAGAUUUUGUCUCAGACCCCUAUGGAAUUCCUUUUCUUUUGGGUAAACUGAUAAGCAUUCCAAGUCCAUUCUGGGAGCUGGGAUGUCGGUCUUAGUUCCAUUUCUGAGUUUGAUUUCUGCUCACCUAUGUUCUGUCUGCCUUGCUCUUGUCACCCCCUGCCUUCAGUGUGUUACCCCGAAACAGACUCCCCACAGGUGGGCUACCAGGCGGGCCACGCUACUGCCUGCCGGCCCUGUACUCGCUUGUAAGAUAUCCCUACGUUCACGGGUUUGGACUGGGUUUUGACUUUUCCCCUUGACUGCAGACGUAAUUGCCUCUGGGAAUAUCUGUCCAUCCAUCAUUCGUCUACCCAUCCAACUACUCAUCCAUCCAUCCAUCCUUUCAUUCAGUUUUGAUUCUUACAUAUUAACAGCUUACCUUAUGCCAGACCGUGUACCUAGUUCCUAAGAUAGACAUUCUCCUUGCUCUUGCACAAGAGACAUAACUAAAUAAACAGUAUCAAUAAAAUGCCAUAAGUUGCUCUCCACACACCUUCCUGGGUUUCUGGGGCCAAUGCCAAGUACCCAGAUGCUCUUUAUUGCACUGUGAGCACACAGCUAUACCCUGCUGAGACCAAACAGGCUAAUAUUUUCAGUUCCCUAAUUGAGAACUUGAGGGGGAAAUACUACUUCAAGUCAGGAGAGCAGGCAUUAAUAUUAUAUGCAUAUUUAUAUAAGAAAUCCUGUAAAUCUGCAUAAAGUUUUAGAAUAUGCAAAUUAUUUUAUUUAUAGAUCUCAUUUGAUCUUUAGAGCAUAGCUGUGAGGUCCAGUCAGACCAGGCAUUAUUUUCAUCCUCAUUUUAUAGAAAAGAAACCAAGGUUCCUAGAAGUUAAAAUAGUUUUGGUAAAAUUUAGAGCGGAAGCUGAAGAUAAACCUUAGUACCGCUCUUAUGAAAUUCUAUCCACUUUGCUAGUAAUUCAAUAGUAACUUGCACAGUUUCUAACAUCUCAGCACUGGCUGUUCCAGGUACUGCUGUCUACAUUUUUGAGCAGGCUGAUGUUCACGGGACAGCCUUGUACGCCCUCUGUUCUAGAAAAGUGACGUAAGAUAAUUUAUAGAGCUCUAACGUGUUGCUUUACUUCCAUUACAUUUUUAUUGCUUUUAUCUGAGAACCCGAGUGGGGAGAGGGAGAGAUGAAAUCACUUGUCUCUUACCUUUGAAAGAUGUGAAAUCAUCACCACACCCUCAAAGAAACGGCAGGUAGCUCGUGAGACCUUUUCCCAAAGGACACGGGGAGACUCUUGACUCAUGGCUGAAGUCGCACUGUGACAUCUUCCUCUCCAUCACCCCUUUUUGGUGAAAUCUCAUUCUUUUAUGAUAUGUUGUCAUGUUUAACUAGAGUCAUCAGGAUGUACUGUGACAUGUUGUUUGUUUCUUCUUUACAUGUUCCCCCCUUCAUAUACCAAUAGUCCUUUCUCCAAACAGCCUAUGCUCUUGAAAAUUCAGUUAAAAUUAAGGUCAGCCUCCUUCCAUCCACCAAAGUCAGUAAGUUUUUAAGAUGCCAAGCUACUGGGCAAAAUUCGGAGACGUCCUACACCACCAUGUUUUGGCUCAUUCAUUUUUUUUGUUUAUUUCUGGAGUGAUGGUAAAAAGCCUGGCAUUUAACAUCAUAUAAUUAAAAUAUGGAAUUUUAAGUUUUGAGGUGAAAUCUGUAUACUUAGAUAAACCUUCAAGUGACUUUAUAAUGUCAUGAUUACUUUGAAGCAAGAAUAUUAUAGAAAUUUUAAAAGUCCUUUUAUAACUCUUUAAUUCUCUUAAGCACAGAGCAACCUGACAACCACUGGGGUGAAAUCAAAGGAAGUGUGACUGUCACCCUGUUAAUUCUAUGCCAUUUGCCCUCAGGUGAUUUUGUCACUUGGUUUUGUAGAAUGGAGAACGUUCUCUUGAUGGUUCUCACUUGCUUUCUGACCCUUUAGGUAUAAAUACCUGUUCUCUGAAGACUUUCUGAAUGGUACUAUUAUGAAAUUGUCAUCAUAGGAGUCCCAUGACUGAUACCAAACUGACAGAGAGGGGAAAAAAUAAAAAUCUCUCACGAUGUGGGCUAUUUUAAAAUUAACUUCUUUCUCAAGGCAUUUAAUCAAAAGCCUUAUCAGGAUGGCAAAGUAAGCCACUGGUCUGUCUUUGAAGAGUGUGUAUUUCUUCCACAUUGAAAGGAAUCCCUAUUCUGUAUGGAUUAGAUCAGUUCAUAGAACAGCUCCAUGUAAAUAACUAUGGAAAAUCAGUAAGUGUAAGUCAUACUAUCCAAUAGUAUACACAGACUACAGGGAUGUACCAUUCCUUUAGGAAGAGAUGCAAACACUGAUUUAAGCAUUAGCAGGAAUUUAACAAAACGAAAAUUCCCUGUAACUUUACUUUUUGUUUCCUCAACUGUUGGACUGAAAGUAUCAGAAAACCCAAACACACACAAAAUGAAAAUGCUUGAUGAUGACAAUCUGAACUAAGGUUGUUCAUGUUUGGUAGCAUUGCAAAUUUAGCUCAGUUUUCGGUCCAUAUCACAUCCUUCAUAAUAGCUCUUCUUUAGUAACAUUUUAUUCAAAGAAAAUGAACAUUAUUUUCAUUAUUCAAGAAGGAACUGGAUCCGCCGGCCGGUCUUUGAUCUGUACUGCCAUCUGCUGUGUGUUGGUAAAACAGCAGCAAACAUGUCAAGUGUCUAAAACCAGAAAGCUCAGAUGGACCUAAGAAACCAUCCAAACCAAUGUCUGUACGUACCUGUGAGAAAACAGAGUCAUGAAAAGCUAAGUGACUUGCACGUCUGUUGUAAGUAGCAGAGCUGAAUGAGGACGCGGUGCUGUUGCGUGGCAAAAACAGUUCUGGAGUCAGACAGACUUGGUUUCAGCAUUUCAGCUGCCUGGCCUUAGGCAAGUUACUCAGACUCUGAGUCUUAAUGUUGGCUGUCCUUUUGAGAUGAAUAAUAUUUACAUGAGAAUUAUAAUAUUUAUGUGAGAAUUAAAUGUGAUAGCAAUCUAUCCGUUCAUCUCUGUGGUACCUGACACAGACGCGCACGACUGCACUUAAGACCCAGUCAUUAUUAUCGUGCCUGCAGGUAAGUUCUUCCACAACAAAGGAUUUUCUCUUUCAGUUCCCAGUGAGAUCAAGUGUCUGAAGCACUUCGUUCCUAAGUACUUAAUUUUAAAUAUUUCUUGACUAAAUGAACAGAGGUCACUUACGUCUCAUUACAAAUUACACUGAAAAUCAUCUUUGGAGGAUGGAUGAGUCUCUGUUGGGAAGUCCAGUUCAAUGUCAGACUUAGAACGUCCACAGAACUAAGUUUAUGACGACUCCCAUCUCUGAAAGGACGGGAUCAGUCCUGGAAAGUUCUAUGAUUCAGGUACAAAGAAGUUACAUAAAGUUACUUACAGAAGUAAAUAUUUUUACAUGGCAAUUUUUCGAAAGUAUGAUGGAUAUGAAACAGUUCAUGUUCUGAAAUCUAAACUAAGAGAAAGAGCCGUCAGAAAAACCAGCUAAACUCUGAGUAACAAUCAGCAACUAACACUCUCGUGUUUAAAAUCCUUGUCAACGGCAAGAAAGCGGUGAGCAAGACGACACUGGGACGGAGGUGAAUGAAUGCAACAGAGUCGUUUAAUCUUAAACGCAGUAUUUGUCACUUCCUGAUGCUGCUGCUUUAGGGGUAAUAUACACAGUAUUAUUUUGUAACCCAUCCUGUGGGCUCCUUAUGGAUUCUAAAUGAAAUCUGAUCAAGUAUCUAAGAGCAGAACACACAGAGGAGUGUGUAUUAAAUGGAGAGUAAGUGGACAGAUAAGAAUAAUAAGUGAUUAAGGUUUAAAAAUUCAGAAUUUAUGCCCUUCAGAGUAAACUGGUGAAGUGUGUCAGGAGUGGGUAGGAAACGGCUUAUUUAUGGGAACUCUGUCACAUUUGUCUACCAUCUCUUUUUACUCCAAACCCGUAUUUUGGUGCUCAGUACAUUUUAGGAAACAAUAUUUUUUAACCAUCUCAUAAAAAUCACCAAAAAAAAAA